CCCCUCUCAGAAUCGCUUCUGGAGAGUUUCCAGUACACUACCAGCCUCGGCUAUGGGAGGGAAAGUCAAAACAGAGACAUACCCAUUCCAUUCCUAGCUUGGCCAGUGGCUAGUGAGUGAAAGGCAAUCUGCUACAAAU